rnacentral:lncRNA from 10 species
AUCCUUGUCACAAAUUAAACUCACCUGGAUUUUAAAAAUACUGCAUAUUCCCAGACCCACCCAAGGACCAGAAUCUCUGGGAAUGGGACUCCAGCCUUAUUUGGAAUCCAGUGCCUUAGAGCCUUGCUACCCAGUCUGCCAAGGACCAGCAGCAUCAGCGUAACCUGGGAGUGAGACAGAAGUUAAGUCUCAGUACGGACCCAGUUCUGCUGAAUUCGAAACUGAGUGGAGCCCAGCCAUGUGUGCCUUCACCAGACCUCUGGGUGAGUCCGUUGCUGGUUACCAUUUGAGAAUCCCCUAUUGAGGACUGAGUAUCCAACGGGGUGAUCCCGCUGACAGGUCCACAGUGGCGAUGAGGACCAUGGGGAUGAUGGAUAUGUCCCGAAGGUUCUGAUGGGAGCAGUUAUGCAGGCACGGUGUAUAACUCACUUUCUCCAGCUCUGUUUUCCUGUCUGCUGUCAGGAGACUUGCUCAUAGAUUUGCGUGAAGAUGACACACAGAUGACGGGCUGGGAAGUCAUAGCACUGUUCCACACACCGGAAAGGGCUGAGGGCUCCUGGCUUGGAGAGCACUGAGUGUGGGUCCCAGCAGGACCCUCCCUCCAUAGCUGGCUCCGCUCCCCUCUCUCUUUCCAGGGCUGACCUUGGCAGAGGUCACCGUGACCCUGAGGCACUGGCUGUUCUGAAGGCCUUGGGGAAACAGGGAGGCCCCAGCUGCUCAGAUCUUCCCGGGUGAGCCCUCAGGAUGCUGCAGUGACCCGGCCAGGGCCCUCCACGGGGAGGCCGAUGAGUAGUGGAGUCGCACCGGCCCAGAGAGCCAAAUGCCACCAUGCUUGAUGCCCGGGGGCUGCACGAGCCCAGAGGAGCUGCCUGACCAGCGCGGGAAGCCGAGAGGGCUUGCUGCUGCUGGG